ensembl:ncRNA lncRNA:CR44914 long non-coding RNA:CR44914
AGAGGUCCACCCCAAAGGAUGUGUGUGGGCUGCUGCUGCUGGAGGGUCCACAAGCUAGUGUCUGAAUUUGAGUCACAACCCGUUGCAAAUGCUGGCGUUGUUGUCGUGGAAUAAUUAAAGCAAAUUUGCACUUCAGACAGUCGCCCGUGGAAAAACAAGGCAAACAUCUCAGCUCUCAGCACUGGCGACCCACAACAAGAGCGGUGCCGAAUCACCAGACCCAGGUACAAUCGAGGAAACCGCCUCCUUAAGGAGCGACAAAAACCCAAAGGAAUUUCACGGAUAACAAUCCGACUGCAGCAUACCCACUAUAAUUUAAACCAAAAAUAUGACAUUCUUUGCGACGCAAGCUGCAACUUUAAGCUACGUAAUAACAAUUUCUUAUCUUUAAUAUUAAAUUUUUAAUGCUAAUCUAGACAAAGACCUGCCUUCCAUCGUAUACUUGUUACCUACUCGCCAGCUUAUCUGAUAUACCCCUUUGAAAUAGAAAUUCAGUUUUUAACAACAACAACACCCUCAGCUGCCAGUGCCAACAUCAACAAAAAGGGGUGCUCCAAAGUGUUUCGAGGACUCGUACCUCCUACGACGACAAUUGCAACAACAGCAAUGCAGAACAAAACGCCAGUCAGCCGGGAAAGUACGCAAAAAAAUGUCUUUAUGUACGAAAGGCAAGGUACGAGCACGGGUAUAUGUAUGUAUGUUUAUGCUACCAUAAUAUGGAACAGAGCCAACAACACAAAAAACAAUGCCAGUGAGUGGCACAGAGAGCUGGAACAGGAGCGGUUCAUCUGGAGGAGAAGCUAUGGUAAUGCCAAAUUACUUAACUUCGGGAGAACGAAGCGGAAAGGAGGAAACCGAACGGCGACCGCGAUGACGGACUCGUGCGGAUGCUGCUGAUGCCGAUGCUGAUGCCGACGUGGAUGUGGAUGCCGACGAGGAUGAGGAUGACGAUGCUUUUCUCACUUGCUGAGCGCAACAAGGACCAAAAAAUGCCAGCACGGCAACAACAAUGGCCAACAACAAUAAUAAUAGCGAAUGGCAACAAUAAACUGGGCUUGCGCCAAAAACGAAAUACGAAAUUUUUAUGGGAAGAGCGAGCGAGAGUCGUCUUCUCACGACGACAGGACGGGAACAACAACAGAAACAACAAAGGAGUAACGAGAUGGGAAAACAAAAUCACACAUACACACACGAAGAGCGACUCUCACAAAAAGCUGCUCAAAGUCAGUGUUUCGGGUGUGUGCGUGCGUGUUAGUGGGAGAGAUUCACCCG